GCCGGGGUGGUGGAAUUGGUAGACGCGCCGGACUCAAAAUCCGGUUCCGAAAGGAGUGGGGGUUCGAUUCCCCCCCCCGGCACCA
rnacentral:tRNA from 1 species